UACGAAGGGGGCUAGCGUUGUUCGGAAUUACUGGGCGUAAAGCGCACGUAGGCGGACUAUUAAGUCAGGGGUGAAAUCCCGGGGCUCAACCCCGGAACUGCCUUUGAUACAGCAUAUCUUGAGUCCGAUAGAGGUGGGUGGAAUUCCUAGUGUAGAGGUGAAAUUCGUAGAUAUUAGGAAGAACACCGGUGGCGAAGGCGGCCCACUGGAUCGGUACUGACGCUGAGGUGCGAAAGCGUGGGGAGCAAACAGG
rnacentral:rRNA from 1 species